CGUGAGCAAUCUGCCCAUAUCUGGGGGAUAACAGUUGGAAACGACUGAUAAUACCGCAUAACAUCGUUUGAAGGCAUCUUCGGACGAUCAAAGAUUUAUCGGAUAUGGAUGAGCUCGCGUCUGAUUAGCUUGUUGGUGAGGUAACGGCUCACCAAGGCGACGAUCAGUAGCCGACCUGAGAGGGUGAUCGGCCACAUUGGAACUGAGACACGGUCCAAACUCCUACGGAAGGCAGCAG
rnacentral:rRNA from 1 species